GACGAACGCUGGCGGCGUGCCUAAUACAUGCAAGUAGGACGCAGUUGCGAACGGGUGAGUAACGCGUAGGUAACUGCCUAUUAGAGGGGGAUAACUAUUGGAAACGAUAGCUAAUACCGCAUACUAGUAGAUGGACCUGCGUUGUAUUAGGUAGUAGGUAGGGUAAUGGCCUACCUAGGCAACGAUACAUAGUCGACCGUGGAUGGUGAGCGGCCACACUGGGACGGAGACACGGCCCAGACUCCUACGUGAGGCAGCAGUAGGGAAUCUUCGGCAAUGGGGGGAAACCUGACCGAGCAACGCCGCGUGAGUGAAGAAGGUUUUCGGAGCGUAAAGCUCUGUUGUUAAGGAAGCGGUACUUAACCAGAAAGGGACGGCUAACUACGUGCCAGCCGCCGCGGUAAUAC
rnacentral:rRNA from 1 species